rnacentral:misc_RNA from 1 species
GAUGGCGACUGUGAACUGUAAUGAUUAUUUAAGUAUUAUUUUAAUCAGCAUUUGCAUCACCUGUGCGUUAUGUUACGAACCAAACUGGAAUUCCCUAGACACAAGAAAAAACCCCGAGUGGUAUGAUGAGGGUAAGAUCGGGAUUUUCCUCCACUGGGGUGUGUACAGCGUCCCUGGAAACAUGGUCUGGUUCUGGUAUUACUGGAAAGGACAGAAACUGCCCGAAUUUGUUCGGUUCAUGAAGGAUCAUUAUCCGCCAAAUUUCCAGUAUGCAGACUUCGCUCCGCAAUUCCGUGCUGAGUUCUUUGAUGCUGAUGAAUGGGCGAAAAUCUUUAAAGAUGCUGGGGCAAGGUGAAUUCUCUAAUGCAAUAAAGAAGUCUGGCUUACACCUUGGUCUGUACCACUCGUUGUUUGAAUGGUUCAACCCUCUGUACAUAAAAGAUAAAGCAAACAACUUCAACACCCAAGACUUUGUCAUGGCUAAGACCAUGCCCGAGCUGUAUGAGCUGGUGAACACCUACCACCCUGACUAUGUGUGGUCAGAUGGAGUUCCCUCGGACAGUGGAAACAGUUCCUACUGGAAUGCUCCGGAGUUUGUUGCCUGGCUCUACAAUGAAAGUCCAGUGAAACAGAGAGUAGUGACCAAUGAUCGGUGGGGGAUUGACACGAUGUGUAAACAUGGCGGCGUGUUGACGUGUACAGACAGAUACAACCCUGGAAAGUUAAAGAAGAGAAAAUGGGAGAAUGCUUUCACAAUAGACAAAAAAAGCUGGGGUUUCCGAAGGAAUGCCGUCCUGUCUGACUUUAUGACGAUGGAGGAAAUACUUUAUCAGGUCAUCACUACGGUCAGUUGUGGAGGAAAUGCUUUGAUUGAUGCUGGCCCAACACCAUAUGGCACAAUACCACCCAUAUUUCAAGAGAGACUGAAGCAGUUAGGGAGCUGGCUGAGAGUGAAUGGUGAGGGGAUAUACAGAACCGUGCCCUGGCUACAUCAGAAUGACACUGUCAAUCCACAUGUGUGGUACACAGUGUCCAAGUAUUCCUCUGUACUGGUGUAUGCAUUUUUACUGGAGUGGCCAGACAAUAACAUUGUAAAGCUGGGAGCUCCUGAGCCUUCCAGUAAAACUGUUGUAUAUUUAGUGGGAUAUCCUGACCCCAUUCCAUGGAAGGCUGGACCUAAUGGGGGAAUACAACUAACCAUUCCAAACAUUCCUCUCCCUCAGAUGCCCUGCAUGUGGGCUUGGGCUUUUAGAUUGAUUGAUCUCAGCAAUUAGGAUCAUCCAAAUAACAGACCAAAUUUUGCAUAAUAUACAUGAAUUUUUUUUUCUUAGUGGAGACAGUGGAGACACGUCAUCACAAGCCAGAGUUACGACUUUCAAAGUGAUAUAUUUUUAUAUACAGCUUACAAUUAUACAUAUCUGUAGCCUGUGAUUGCUGAUGGAUACACUUAAUUGGAUUGAAGUAUUUUACACCUCUUCCUAAUUACAUCAGGCUCAAAUGGUCAUGCAUCAGCCAUUAACUUUAAGUCCCAUGUGUUCAAAGUAGUUAAUUUUCAUUUGUGUUGUACUAUUCAAAUUGAUUUUGUCACAUGACCUUUUUGUCUGCUGUAUGACUGUUUUACACAUGCACUUUUAUAUGCAUGUGUAUUUUUACUAGAGAUUGGACCUCAUGAAUCUCAUGAUGUUAUUCAUUCAGUUGAAGUUUCCUGAAGCCUGUAAACAAUUUGCUUCUGUGAAUUGAAUCAGUUUUCUUUGUAGAUAUUUAUUUAAGAUGAUGAACAUCUAUACAAUUGAUUCUGAAUUUGAAGUGAAAUUAUGAUGCACAAACACAAUCCCAUGUUCUCUGUCAGUUUUGCUAUUGUUAAUAUUUUUGGGUUUUUUUGUUUGAACAAAAAUUGCAAUUAUGUGACACUUGUGUACAUGUAAACAAUGUGUUACUCUAUGUACUAAACUAUUGUGUAUUGUUUGUCUUGUUUUGUAUUGUAAUUUAAUGUUUUGUUUUUGCAAAAUAUCAAUACAAAUGCUGAACUUG